GGAGGUUGGUGCUCAGUCCACUGAGCCACCCCAGCCAGGGUGGAGUGCUUUCAUUUUAAAUGUACUUUUAAAGUGGAGGCAUAAUUAUUUAGCCGGAAACAUAGCAAGUUUGCUUUAGCUUUUCUUUUUUCACAAAGUAAUUAAAUCUGAACUGUGUGAGGCUAGUUCUCAUUUAAAAAAAUUAAUUUAGCCCUGGUUGGUGUAAUACAUGCUGAAAUUAGAGUUGAGUUUUAUAGUUCUGAAUGAUAUGCAUUAAUACAGUUUCAUAUUCCUCUAAAAUGUGGUAAGGAAACAUAAAAUAGCUCCUGAAAACCAACUGGUCCUAGUUGUGAUUUUUCUCCGCUGCUCUUACCCAGUUCUGUUUUUCCCCAUUUCACUGUGCAUACUAAAUUUAACCAUGAAAAUGAUGUGUAUGUCUAAAACCAUUGUUUUGGCAUUUCUAAAGAAAUAGAUUAUAAAUCCUGUAGCGACAUUGAUCAAACUGCACAUUUUAACCAUGUAACAGUUCUGCUCUCUUAAAAAGUGUUUCUCCAAAACAGUCUUGGCCUUUUUGCAUGCAGCAUUUUUCAUCUUUAUAUCAGAGUCUCACUUGUGAUUCUUUCUUGCCCAAAGGAGAACAAGCAGUUUCAGUAAUUGCUUAACUUAAUUGGCUUCUAAUCACAUGGUUACCUCUGGGGCUCUUUAUCUCUUAAAUCUUUUCUUCUUUCUAGAAAGUACAAGUAAAGCUUUGGUCGACACCCUUCAUGUUAAAUAGUUCCUAAGCUUUAGUUACCGAACCUGGUAAUAAAAAAUAUAAUAUUUGCAAAACAGAACCAUUUACACCAUUUGAAAAACAAACAGAUUUGCGCCUUCAAAUAACACUCAGCAGCCUGACAUGUUCUCUUCUCUCUGAAAUAUUAUUAACUUACACUUUUUAAUAGAGAACUCAACUUUAAGGAGGUCUUGUCUUUAUUCUCAGAAUGUACUGAUAAGGCAGAAAUAAAUGAAACUUUGAAGAA